GAUGAACGCUGGCGGCGUGCCUAAUACAUGCAAGUCGAGCGAACAGACGAGGAGCUUGCUCCUCUGACGUUAGCGGCGGGCGGGUGAGUAACACGUGGAUAACCUACCUAUAAGACUGGGAUAACUUCGGGAAGCCGGAGCUAAUACCGGAUAAUAUAUUGAACCGCAUGGUUCAAUAGUGAAAGACGGUUUUGCUGUCACUUAUAGAUGGAUCCGCGCCGCAUUAGCUAGUUGGUAAGGUAACGGCUUACCAAGGCAACGAUGCGUAGCCGACCUGAGAGGGUGAUCGGCCACACUGGAACUGAGACACGGUCCAGACUCCUACGGGAGGCAGCAGUAGGGAAUCUUCCGCAAUGGGCGAAAGCCUGACGGAGCAACGCCGCGUGAGUGAUGAAGGUCUUCGGAUCGUAAAACUCUGUUAUUAGGGAAGAACAAAUGUGUAAGUAACUAUGCACGUCUUGACGGUACCUAAUCAGAAAGCCACGGCUAACUACGUG
rnacentral:rRNA from 1 species